rnacentral:lncRNA from 1 species
GGGAACGUUCCGGGACGUUCUCGCUACGUACUCUUUAUCAAUCGUCUUCCGGCGCAGCCCCGUCCCUGUUUUUUGUGCUCCUCCGAGCUCGCUGUUCGUCCGGGUUUUUUACGUUUUAAUUUCCAGAAACCAGGGUGGUUAUGACCGCUACUCAGGAGGAAAUUACAGAGACAAUUAUGACAACUGAAAUGAGACAUGCACAUAAUAUAGGUGAGACUUGGAUAUCGGCAUUGAGUGAACCUGUUUGUCACACUCUGUCAUGACCCUCUCACCUUUUCUGGCAAGACUGCUCUGCAUUUCUGCUGCCCUCAUACCUCACCCAGCCAACCUACCAAACAUUCCUAGCUAGGCCUUCCUUGCUCUCAGGUGCAUAUCAGAGCAAGUUUGCUAGGGGGUGGGAUCUGAAAACCCAUCUCCUAUAAUCUUCUACUCUUGUGUGGGAUGGAGGAAAUGAAGGUGUGUCCCUGUUGUCCAACCCUCAGCAUCUUCAUCAGCUCUAGGAGGUGAGCAUGUUGUCAGCUGUUACUUCAUGACAUCACAAUUCUCCCCCUCUUGCUGUUCCCAGAUACACAAGGAAUAAUUUCUGAUCCAGGAUCGUCCUUCCAAAUGGCUGUAUUUAUAAAGGUUUUUGGAGCUGCACCGAAGCAUCUUAUUUUAUAGUAUAUCAACCUUUUGUUUUUAAAUUGACCUGCCAAGGUAGCUGAAGACCUUUUAGACAGUUCCAUCUUUUUUUUUAAAUUUUUUCUGCCUAUUUAAAGACAAAUUAUGGGACGUUUGUAGAACCUGAGUAUUUUUCUUUUUACCAGUUUUUUAGUUUGAGCUCUUAGGUUUAUUGGAGCUAGCAAUAAUUGGUUCUGGCAAGUUUGGCCAGACUGACUUCAAAAAAUUAAUGUGUAUCCAGGGACAUUUUAAAAACCUGUACACAGUGUUUAUUGUGGUUAGGAAGCAAUUUCCCAAUGUACCUAUAAGAAAUGUGCAUCAAGCCAGCCUGACCAACAUGGUGAAACCCCAUCUGUACUAAACAUAAAAAAAUUAGCCUGGCAUGGUGGUGUACGCCUGUAAUCCCAGUGACUUGGGAGGCUGAGGCAGGAGAAUCGCUUGAACCCGGGAGGCGGAGGUUGCAGUGAGCUAAGAUCGCGCCACUGUACUCCAGCCUGGGCAACAGCGAGACUCCAUCUCAAAAAAAAAGGAAAUGUGUAUCAAGAACAUGAUUAUCCAGCGGUAUUUUCUAAUUCAGAUCAUCAAACUGAUUAUAUAGAAGAGUUGGCUUUAAAAUGUUUGCAAAUGUCUUUUUUUUUUUAAUACUGGAAGAAAAAAUAUUCUGUUGUGUCUCAUACAGUGCUUAGGAUGUCUUUCACAGAGCUUAUUAAAAAGAUGAAACCUGAGAACAAACUGCUUUAUUCUUACUCAGCCCAUUUUGCAAAUUAAAAGUGGGGGCAGAGGUGGGCGGAUCACCUGAGGUCAGGAGUUCGAGACCAGCCUGGCCAACAGGGCAAAACCCCAUCUCUACUAAAAAU